rnacentral:rRNA from 1 species
UACAGAGGGGGCCAGCGUUAUUCGGAAUUAUUGGGCGUAAAGGGCGCGUAGGCGGCCAUGCGUGUCUUCCGUGAAAUCCCUCGGCUUAACUGAGGACGUGCGGAAGAAACUGCAGGGCUCGAGUCCGGGAGAGGGGGGUGGAAUUCCCAGUGUAGCGGUGAAAUGCGUAGAUAUUGGGAGGAACACCGGUGGCGAAGGCGGCCCCCUGGACCGGUACUGACGCUGAGGCGCGAAAGCGUGGGUAGCAAACGGG